CCUACGGGUGGCAGCAGUGGGGGAUAUUGCACAAUGGGGGAAACCCUGAUGCAGCGACGCCGCGUGGGCGAAGAAGUAUUUCGGUAUGUAAAGCCCUAUCAGCAGGGAAGAAGAAAUGACGGUACCUGAGUAAGAAGCACCGGCUAAAUACGUGCAGCAGGCGAGGGAAAACGUAAGGUGCAAGCGUUAUCCGGAUUUCAUGGGUGUAAAGGGAGCGCAGGCGGCACGGCCAGCCUGAUGUGAAAGCCCGCGGCCCAACCGCGGGACUGCAUUGGGAACUACCGGGCGGGAGUGCCGGAGAGGUAGGCGGAAUUCCUAGUGUAGCGGUGAAAUGCGGAGAUAUUAGGAGGAACACCAGUGGCGAAGGCGGCCUACUGGACGGUGACUGACGCUGAGGCUCGAAAGCGUGGGGAGCGAACAGGAUUAGAUACCCGUGUAGUC
rnacentral:rRNA from 1 species